UGGAUAGAUUAUUGUAUUCAACUGUAUUCACGGUGUGAAACAGGGGGUUACACUGUUUUUAAACGGAAAGUGAAUCAAUUAACAUAAUAGACUCCU
rnacentral:pre_miRNA from 1 species